rnacentral:misc_RNA from 1 species
CCUUUCAAUGCAGCAGAAUUGGGAUGGUUAGUAGUAUCUCGCCUCUCCGUUCUGCCUGUAUUCUACCCUUGUUUGUCAUAUACUAUUAUUUUCCUCGGCAGGCUUAGCCUGCCGAGUGAAACCAUUUAUAACCUUUUUAAUUUUCAAUCAGCGUCUGAAAAAAAUUAAUAAUUA